rnacentral:rRNA from 1 species
UACGAAGGGGGCUAGCGUUGCUCGGAAUCACUGGGCGUAAAGGGUGCGUAGGCGGGUUUUUAAGUCAGGGGUGAAAUCCUGGGGCUCAACUCCAGAACUGCCUUUGAUACUGAAGAUCUUGAGUUCGGGAGAGGUGAGUGGAACUGCGAGUGUAGAGGUGAAAUUCGUAGAUAUUCGCAAGAACACCAGUGGCGAAGGCGGCUCACUGGCCCGAUACUGACGCUGAGGCGCGAAAGCGUGGGGAGCAAACAGG